rfam:Xenorhabdus beddingii strain DSM 4764 Xbed_21, whole genome shotgun sequence.
GGGAGCGGUAUGAGUCGAGAGGCUCACGUACCGUUCUGCGAGAGGCUGCGGGGGCAGUUCCUGCGGCCUACUCAAC